rnacentral:rRNA from 1 species
GACAAAGGAUGCAAGCGUUAUCCGGAAUGAUUGGGCGUAAAGCGUAUGUAGGUGGCUUUUUAAGUCCGCCGUCAAAUCCCAGGGCUCAACCCUGGACAGGCGGUGGAAAGUACCAAGCUGGAGUACGGUAGGGGCAUAGGGAAUUUCCGGUGGAGCGGUAAAAUGCGUAGAGAUCGGAAAGAACACCAACAGCGAAAGCACUCUGCUGGGCCGACACUGACACUGAGAGACGAAAGCUAGGGGAGUGAAUAGG